rnacentral:rRNA from 1 species
GACGAACGCUGGCGGCGUGCUUAACACAUGCAAGUCGAACGGAAAGGCCCUGCUGUUGUGGGGUGCUCGAGUGGCGAACGGGUGAGUAACACGUGAGUAACCUGCCCUUGACUUUGGGAGAAAUUCAGGAAACUGGGGCUAAUACCGGAUAGGAGCUCCUGCUGCAUGGUGGGGGUUGGAAAGUUUCGGCGGUUGGGGAUGGACUCGCGGCUUAUCAGCUUGUUGGUGGGGUAGUGGCUUACCAAGGCUUUGACGGGUAGCCGGCCUGGGAGGGUGACCGGCCACAUUGGGACUGAGAUACGGCCCAGACUCCUACGGGAGGCAGCAGUGGGGAAUAUUGCACAAUGGGCGGAAGCCUGAUGCAGCAACGCCGCGUGCGGGAUGACGGCCUUCGGGUUGUAAACCGCUUUCGCCUGUGACGAAGCGUGAGUGACGGUAAUGGGUAAAGAAGCACCGGCUAACUACGUG